GGAGGGUACAGCUCAGUAGUAGAGCACAUGCUUAGCAUGCAUGAGAUCCUGGGUUUAAUCUCCAUUCCUUCCA
rnacentral:tRNA from 1 species